GAUAAACUUCUUCUGUUCCUGUUUUGUUUUCCUUUCACAUGACAAGCUUCAAAGUUCAUGCUACAGGACAGUUCUCAUCCUUCAUGGUGAUGAAGAUGAGGGUAAACUUGUACUCGUUGGUUUUGGCUGAAAAUUUCCACGGUUAUACUCGACGAAGCGAAGAGCAGAUGUAACUGCUGUGGAGUGGUGAGGCUUUCUGUGUUGCUCUUGAGCUCAACAUCCGCAAUCCUUCCAUUUCUUUAAGAUUCGUGCAUGUCCCCAGAUAGUAGCAAGUAUUAAGCCUUUGCUUGCUUGAGCCUCAACCGAAGACAACUUGCUGAUGAUCGCGAUGAUGUUGAGCAGGGGCAGUAAAACCCUCGUCGCCCUCCACCGUCAUCAUCUGCAGCUGCAGUGCGGACAAUGGGGGUGGUGGUCGCGGCGGUGGCUGGUGAAGGUUCGGCUCAAGUGGGUCAAGAACCGUGGUUUCGACCACAUCAUCGACCGCGACACCGACAUCAAGGCCGCCUGCCUCCUCAAGGACGCCAUCGCCGCCGCCCCUUCCGGCCUCCUCCCCGCCCGCUCUCUCGCCCGGUUCCAGAAAAACCUCGGCCUCACUGUCCCCGUCCUCCGCUUCCUCCGCCGCUACCCCACCCUCUUCCGCGAGCUCCCUCACCCCCGUUUCCCUUCCCUCCCGGCUUUCUCUCUCGCCCCCGCUGCCCUCCUCCUCCACCGCCGCGAAAGCGAAACUUUCCAAGCCGCCCUCCCGGAGGACGCCGCCCACCGCCUUGCUCGCCUCCUGAUGAUGGCUCGCUCCCGCGCUCUCCCCCUCUCCGCCAUCUUUCCACUCCGCUACGAUCUUGGCCUUCCCCCGGACUUUCCCUCCGCCCUUGCCGCUACCCGCUCGGACCUCUUUCGCCUCUCCCGACGCCCCACUGACGGCGCCUUCAUCCUUUCCCUCUCCUCCUGGCCCGAUCACCUCGCCUUCUCCGCCCUCCAGCUCCGCCACAGAGAUGCCCUAGCACAGCCCUCCUACCGCGACUUCAAGAAGCCAUCCGUAUCCUCUGCCGCCCCCCUUGCUUUCCCCAUGCGCUUCCCCAGAGGCUACGGCUCCAUGAAGAAGGUCAAGGCCUGGAUGGAAGACUUCCACCACCUCCCCUACGUAUCUCCCUACGAGGACGCGUCCGGUAUCGACCCCGACAGCGAUCUCAUGGAGAAGCACGUCGUUGGGGUCCUGCACGAGCUCCUCAGCCUCACGAUCCACAAGAAGACCAAGCGGAACUACAUUCGCAGCCUCCGAGAGGAGCUCGGCCUCCCCCACAGGUUCACUCGCGUGUUCACCCGCUACCCGGGGAUCUUCUAUCUGUCCCUAAAGUGCAAGACCACCACGGUGGUCCUUCGGGAGGGCUACCAGAGCGGUAAGCUGGUGGAUCCGCACCCCCUCUCACUUGUUCGAGACAAGUUCUUUUACGUCAUGAGAACAGGGUUGCUGUAUCGGGGCAAGGGCAUGACAAAGCUAGUUCUUGAGGAGGAUGACUUAUUCGGCGAAGGCAAUUGCAGGGAGGAACAAAAGGAACAGAUUGCCAUUGACAAUGAGGAGCAGGAUGGUGUUUACGGUGACGAUGUUGGUUUUGAUGAUGAAGAUGUUGAUGCCAGUGACAAUGAUGAUGACGAAUGCUAUGAGUUGGAUGAUUCAGAUGAUGAAGAUGGAUCAGACAAUGGCUGAAAUUUUGUUUACAAUCAACCGGAGUUUCUUUUACCCCUUGACACAACAACUAUAUAUGUUUUUAGGUCAGCAACCUCAUCAAGUCCCGACUGGAUCGGCAUGGAAGGGCAUCGAGAGCAGAGUCGAUUCCGAGGACGUGUAUCCCUCAGGAGCCCAACUUGACAAAUGGGCAAUCAUGAAAGUUAUGAGUAUACAGGAUAAAGUGUUUCUUCUACAUGACCGUCUCAAGUUUGACUUUUUUGCCGUAUUGAUAUCUUUAGAUCUUCUUAUAGCUUCAGUGAGAAAACCAUUCUGAUGAUUUAUUUUGCAGUUGUAUGAAGCCACUUUUCUUGUUAGGUUUUGUAACCCUAGCUCGCUAGUCACCAAAGCGAACUAUCUAAUCAUGCAUCAUUUGCUAGGCCAUCAGCAUACAUAAGUAUUUAUUGUUCUAUGGGACAAAGCCUCAAUGCAACAAAUUAAAGUUGGAAGUUAUAUGGUUCUAUAAAACUCUUUAUUAUGAUAUUG